GGAAUUUUGGACAAUGGGCGAAAGCCUGAUCCAGCCAUGCCGCGUGAGUGAAGAAGGCCUUCGGGUUGUAAAGCUCUUUCAGCCGGAAAGAAAACGCAUGGGUUAAUAACCUGUGUGGAUGACGGUACCGGAAGAAGAAGCACCGGCUAACUACGUGCCAGCAGCCGCGGUAAUACGUAGGGUGCGAGCGUUAAUCGGAAUUACUGGGCGUAAAGCGUGCGCAGGCGGUUUUGUAAGACAGAUGUGAAAUCCCCGGGCUUAACCUGGGAACUGCAUUUGUGACUGCAAGGCUAGAGUACGGCAGAGGGGGGUAGAAUUCCACGUGUAGCAGUGAAAUGCGUAGAUAUGUGGAGGAAUACCGAUGGCGAAGGCAGCCCCCUGGGUCGAUACUGACGCUCAUGCACGAAAGCGUGGGGAGCAAACAGGAUUAGAUACCCUGGUAGUCCACGCCCUAAACGAUGUCAACUAGUUGUUGGUAGAGUAAAAUCUAUGAGUAACGUAGCUAACGCGUGAAGUUGACCGCCUGGGGAGUACGGUCGCAAGAUUAAAACUCAAAUGAAUUGACGG
rnacentral:rRNA from 1 species